AGUAACAAUUCUAUAAAGUUUUCUCAAAUAUUUCAAUGGUUUUCCAGUUUUUCAACAUGUUUAUUCUAGUAUUAUUUGGACUAAGGCUUUCUAUAGCUCAAUUAGUCUAUGCAUUUGUAAGGGCAUCAAGGGAAAUCCUCUUCACAUGGAUGAUGCUUCCCACACAUAUCUCAUGGUUUCUGUCAUCCUGACUUUUUCCCCUUUUAUUGUCGAUGUGUUUUUGCUCCAUUUGUGACAGGUGUGCA
rnacentral:misc_RNA from 1 species